rnacentral:misc_RNA from 1 species
GGGGGUUGUUUUGUUUCUUUUUGUUUUGUUUUUUGGAAUUGUUUCUGUUAGUAUAUUUUUUACCAGAGAUGAGGAACACCUAAACUACAAAUGAAAUCACCGGCAAUGUGCAUACUUUUGUUUAGUUGUUAUUGCUUUGACACAGUAUUUUUUGUUUCUUUUUCCAUUUUUAUAACAUUUUUAAAAAGCAUACAAAUGUUUCUUUUAAAAUGCUUAUCUUCUUUUCUAAACCUAAGCAAACUAUUGCAAAAGUGCCCAAUGAGAGGUAAAUGAGUUUAAUACAUGUACAUUUAACAUUCUCAACAGUACUGGUAAGAUCCAUUUUUCACAGGAUUAAUUGUUGCAUCUAAAACCACUUCCCGUCACUAUCUUUCAGGUGAUAAAAUGAGCAUGCUGUUUUAGUUAUAUUAUGCCAUUUUGAAAUUGUUCUUACAUACGUAAAGUAUAUGAAUAAAAAAAAAAAGAAAUG